rfam:Echinostoma caproni strain Egypt genome assembly, scaffold: ECPE_scaffold0016360
GGCUUCGUAGCUCAGCUGGUAGAGCAUGCGCGUACAAAGCGUAGGCGGUGUCCAUGCGUGGGUUCGAAUCCCACCGAGGCUA